UACGAAGGGGGCUAGCGUUGUUCGGAAUUACUGGGCGUAAAGGGUUUGUAGGCGGUUGAACAAGUCAGAUGUGAGAGCCCGGGGCUUAACCCCGGAAUUGCAUUUGAAACUGUUCAGCUAGAGAGUGUUAGAGGAAAGUGGAAUUCCUAGUGUAGGAGUGAAAUCCGUAGAGAUUAGGAGGAAUAUCGAUGGCGAAGGCAGCUUUCUGGGACAUUUCUGACGCUGAGAAACGAAAGCGUGGGUAGCAAACAGG
rnacentral:rRNA from 1 species